UGUUCUGUAGCUUAGUUGGUUAAAGCGCCGGUCUAGCGUACACGGAGUCGUGAGUUCGAGUCUAACUAGAACGC
rnacentral:tRNA from 1 species